UACGUAGGGGGCAAGCGUUGUCCGGAAUCAUUGGGCGUAAAGCGCGCGUAGGCGGCCCGGUAAGUCCGCUGUAAAAGUCCAGGGCUCAACCCUGGAAAGCCGGUGGAUACUGUCGGGCUAGAGUCCGGAAGAGGCGAGUGGAAUUCCUGGUGUAGCGGUGGAAUGCGCAGAUAUCAGGAAGAACACCAACGGCGAAGGCAGCUCGCUGGGACGUGACUGACGCUGAGACGCGAAAGCGUGGGGAGCAAACAGG
rnacentral:rRNA from 1 species